rnacentral:lncRNA from 1 species
CCCCGCCCCACGCUCGAUCCCUCCCCAACAACAGCGCCGGGGAGAGCCCCGAUUGGCUGGCGCCGCCGUGACGUCACGCACCACCUGGCCGGCUGUUGCCGUGGCAACGGGGAAAGCGGUGCGAUCGGGGGCGUGGCCAGGAGAAGCCACGCCCCUCUUUUUUCCCAGCUCCGCCCCCCCCCACGGAGACAGCGCGGGGAGGGGAGGGGGGAAAGGUCAGAGGUCACGACACCACGUGACGCGGGGGCACACUCAGCGUCACAGCGCCACUCACACUCACACCAACACGCUCACACGUGACACACUCACACUGACAUACACACUCGCAGUGUCACACUCACACACACACUCACACUCACACACUCUUAGUGUCACACUCACACACACACACCCUCAGUCCACACUCACACUGACACACACACAUUCACACCAUCACACUCUCAAUCACACUCACACACACACACACACACUCACACCCUCAGGCACACACACACACUCACACCCCCAUACUCACACCCUCACACACACACACUCACACUCACACACACUCACACUGACACACACCAUCACUCACUGAGACUCACACACACAGUCACACUCACUCACACCCUUGCACACUCACACUGAACUCCCCCUCACACACACUCUCACACCCACGCUCACACUCACACCAUCACUCACUGAGACUCACACUCACACCCUCGCACACUCACCCUUCCACACUCACACUCAACUCCCCCUCACGCAUACAC